rnacentral:rRNA from 1 species
UAGAAAGUCUAUUUUAAUAACUUACUACAUAAUAUAAAUAAAAUUAGUUAAUCCUUUCGUACUAAACCAAAAUAAUUAUAAAAAGAUAGAAACCAACCUGGCUCACGCCGGUCUGAACUCAAAUCAUGUAAAAAUUAAAGUCGAACAGACUUAACACUUAAAUCUCUACAUUCAAAUGUAAACUUAAUUCAACAUCGAGGUCAUAAACAUUUCCAUAAAUAUGAUCUUCAAAAAAAUAUUAUGCUGUUAUCCCUAAGGUAAUUUUAUCUUAUUCUCUAAAUUUUUCAGGAUCAUCCAAUCAUCUAUCAAUGAUUAACCAAAAAAAGUUAAUUUUAUGUCACCCCAACCAAAAAAUUAUUUUACAAUUUAAUUUUUAAAUUCUAUAGGGUCUUCUCGUCCCUUUUAUUUAUUUAAGUAUUUUAACUUAAAUUCCAAAUUAAAAUUUCAUAACAAUAAAAAAGUUAAUAUUACGUUCAUCCUUUCAUACCAGCCCCCAAUUAAAGAACUAAUGAUUAUGCUACCUUUGUACAGUCAGUAUACUGCAGCUAUUUACAUCAGCAUUGAGCAGGACAUACCAAAAAUAUUUUUUCUCCCAGAAAUGUUUUUGAUAAACAGUCGAAAAUUAAAUUUGCCGAAUUCUUAAUUAUUAUUUUUUUAAUUUACUAAUUUAAUCAUAAUUAUUUCAAUUUUAUUAUUCAAUUAAACAACUUUACCUCCCCUUAAAGCUAUUUAAUAAAAUAUUAAAUUAAUUUAAUUAAUUACUACAAAUUAAAAUGAUUACUAAUAUUAAGUAUACUACACAAAUGAAACCUUCACCUAAAAAAUUAUAUACAAGAUUAUCCCUGCACAAAUAUGAAAAUUAAACAAAAUAAAUUCAAUUGAUUAAAUCAAAAAUAAAGCAACUAGAUAUAAAAAAUCUAAAUUUAUAUCAAACCCACAUUACUUUUAACUUAUUUUUUUACACAAAUAAAAUUAAGUAAUAUAAAUAUUUUUUAUUCGAGAAAAAAUUCUAAAAUAUAUAUUUAAAUUAACCCUGAUACAAAAGGUAAAAUUAUUUGAUCUUCUAUUCUUCUAUACUUCUACCCUUACAGUUAACAAAAAAAAUUAUUUCACUAAUCCAUUAAUUUAAAUUAAAUAAAAAG